UAUUUUUACUACAUCUUGGUCUCGGUUUAGCAGGAGCAUAGAACUAAAGCCACACACACAGUUCCCCUGAGUCAUUAUCUAAGUUCUAAUAGAGGAUGUUUUUUAGUUAAACGUUUCCAUUACACCCCGGGGUAAAAAUAGUAAAAAAGAAAAAAAAAGAAGGUGUGCAAUCGGAGGAUGGAUCAAAAGGUCACCCAUCGUAGUACUACACUGAACCAAAUACGUUUAAUUUAAGAGUGAUCACAGG
rnacentral:lncRNA from 1 species